ACGCUGGCGGCGUGCUUAACACAUGCAAGUCGAACGGUGAAGCCUUUCGGGGUGGAUCAGUGGCGAACGGGUGAGUAACACGUGGGCAAUCUGCCCUGCACUCUGGGACAAGCCCUGGAAACGGGGUCUAAUACCGGAUAUUACCUGGGGGCGCAUGCUUCCGGGUGGAAAGCUCCGGCGGUGCAGGAUGAGCCCGCGGCCUAUCAGCUUGUUGGUGGGGUGAUGGCCUACCAAGGCGACGACGGGUAGCCGGCCUGAGAGGGCGACCGGCCACACUGGGACUGAGACACGGCCCAGACUCCUACGGGAGGCAGCAGUGGGGAAUAUUGCACAAUGGGCGCAAGCCUGAUGCAGCGACGCCGCGUGAGGGAUGACGGCCUUCGGGUUGUAAACCUCUUUCAGCAGGGAAGAAGCGCAAGUGACGGUACCUGCAGAAGAAGCACCGGCUAACUACGUGCCAGCAGCCGCGGUAAUACGUAGGGUGCGAGCGUUGUCCGGAAUUAUUGGGCGUAAAGAGCUCGUAGGCGGCUUGUCGCGUCGGAUGUGAAAGCCCGGGGCUUAACUCCGGGUCUGCAUUCGAUACGGGCAGGCUAGAGUUCGGUAGGGGAGAUCGGAAUUCCUGGUGUAGCGGUGAAAUGCGCAGAUAUCAGGAGGAACACCGGUGGCGAAGGCGGAUCUCUGGGCCGAUACUGACGC
rnacentral:rRNA from 2 species